CGCGAUCGGAUUUUCGGUUACGUGACUUUUUUCCUGUGCAAUACGCAUUUUUGACAAAACUUCUCCUGCCUAUAAUUUCGAUUUAAAGCCAUAUUGAAAGCUUUUAGCUUCAAUAUAUGAUAAUUAUUUAUAUAAGGAGUUUCCUAUGUCUUCUACAGGAACAGUUAAGUGGUUUAAUACAACAAAAGGUUUUGGUUUUAUCCAACCUAAUGAUGGGAGUGCAGAUGUAUUCGUACAUAUUUCUGCUGUUGAACGCUCUGGUUUGAGUAACCUUAAUGAAGGGCAGAAAAUUUCGUAUGAAGUUGUUCAGGAUCGUCGUUCAGGAAAACUUGCUGCUGGAAAUCUCGCAGUUCUUUAACUUCAAGUUUAUUUUGUUUUUUAAAAUCUCGUCUUCAUAGGCGAGAUUUUUAU
rnacentral:sRNA from 1 species